AUUGAACGCUGGCGGAAUGCUUUACACAUGCAAGUCGAACGGCAGCACGGGGCAACCUGGUGGCGAGUGGCGAACGGGUGAGUAAUACAUCGGAACGUGCCCAAUCGUGGGGGAUAACGUAGCGAAAGUUACGCUAAUACCGCAUACGAUCUACGGAUGAAAGCGGGGGAUCGCAAGACCUCGCGCGAAUGGAGCGGCCGAUGUCAGAUUAGGUAGUUGGUGGGGUAAAGGCUCACCAAGCCAACGAUCUGUAGCUGGUCUGAGAGGACGACCAGCCACACUGGAACUGAGACACGGUCCAGACUCCUACGGGAGGCAGCAGUGGGGAAUUUUGGACAAUGGGCGCAAGCCUGAUCCAGCCAUUCCGCGUGCAGGAUGAAGGCCUUCGGUUGU
rnacentral:rRNA from 1 species